AUACCUCCAAAGAAGAACGGAAGAAGAAUAGGAAAUCAGACAACACCUCAGCCUGUCCAUCCAAAUCCUCUGGACGAGCAUGUCUCCCACACAGAAUUCAGAGCAGCUUUUACCACCCUAGCUCAUUCUGUCGUAGCCUAGAAUGAAUGACCAACUGCCAUUCUGGCCAACCCAGUGGCCAAUACUGAUGCAGCCAGGAUUUGAGACUUCACUAAAAUGAAUCCUUCCUCUUUUA
rnacentral:lncRNA from 1 species